CCCGCUGAACUUAAGCAUAUCAAUAAGCGGAGGAAAAGAAACUAACAAGGAUUCCCCUAGUAACUGCGAGUGAAGCGGGAAAAGCUCAAAUUUAAAAUCUGGCAGCCAUUUUACGGUUGUCCGAGUUGUAAUCUAGAGAAGUGCUUUCCGCGCUGGACCGUGUACAAGUCUCUUGGAAUAGAGCAUCAUAGAGGGUGAGAAUCCCGUCUUUGACACGGACUACUAGUGCUUUAUGUGAUGCGCUCUCAAAGAGUCGAGUUGUUUGGGAAUGCAGCUCAAAAUGGGUGGUAAAUUCCAUCUAAAGCUAAAUAUUGGCGAGAGACCGAUAGCGAACAAGUACCGUGAGGGAAAGAUGAAAAGAACUUUGGAAAGAGAGUUAAACAGUACGUGAAAUUGUUGAAAGGGAAACGCUUGAAGUCAGUCACGUUGGCCAGAAAUCAACUUGUAACAGGGCGUAAUUUCUGGUUUUACGGGUCAACAUCAAUUUUGAUUGUUGGAUAAAAGUCAAUAUUUAUGUGUUUUCGGACGUGUAGCCUUUGAUUGCAUACAAUGGUUGGGAUUGAGGAACUCAGCUCGCCGCAAGGCCGGGUAACUUGUUACCACGUAACGUGCUUAGGAUGUUGGCAUAAUGGCUUUAAUCGACCCGUCUUGAAACACGG
rnacentral:rRNA from 1 species